AGAGUUGAUCCUGGCUCAGGAUGAACGCUAGCGACAGGCUUAACACAUGCAAGUCGAGGGGCAGCACGGGAGUAGCAAUACAACUGGUGGCGACCGGCGCACGGGUGAGUAACGCGUAUGCAACCUACCUAUCAGAGGGGAAUAACCCGGCGAAAGUCGGACUAAUACCGCAUAAAACAGGGGCACCGCAUGGUGAUAUUUGUUAAAGAAAUUCGCUGAUAGAUGGGCAUGCGUUCCAUUAGGUAGUUGGUGAGGUAACGGCUCACCAAGCCGACGAUGGAUAGGGGAACUGAGAGGUUGGUCCCCCACACUGGUACUGAGACACGGACCAGACUCCUACGGGAGGCAGCAGUGAGGAAUAUUGGUCAAUGGGCGGGAGCCUGAACCAGCCAAGUCGCGUGAAGGAAAGAAGGAUCUAUGGUUCGUAAACUUCUUUUGCAGGGGAAUAAGGUGCAGGACGUGUCCUGCUUUGUAUGUACCCUGAGAAUAAGGAUCGGCUAACUCCGUGCCAGCCGCAGC
rnacentral:rRNA from 1 species